UAAUUUGUUGUAGCACAUUAAUUAUCUCAUAGCUUCUAUUUAGGCUGCAGCUGUUGCUAUUAUGUUAAUAAUAUUUUUUAUCACCACUGUAUACAACAGGUUAUGGAAAUAAUAGAAAUAUCUCUCUUUUUGGCUUCCCCCCCUGUCGUUUCCAUUUUUCUAUGUCAGAAGGAAAGACUGAAAGAAAUUUAGGCAAAUUAAGCCCCAAAGCGCACUAUAAUUUUCUAUUUCUGAACCGAUUUGUAAGAGAAUGGGUAACUGAAAUUAGCAAAGAAUCACCCCACACAAAGAUGGCGCGUGCAGAAUUUGUGAAAGCGAAAAAGAAGACGAAGGAGAAGCAAGAGAGGGACGGAACACUGCAGUGCUGGGGUGCAGCUGGAGUCCAGAAAUGAUUUUUUUCGAUGAAUUUAGGAUUUUGCCGCAGUAUACAUCUGCAGUCCCAGAAUCCUCCGUAUGGCAAGGACUGUUGUGUCAAACCAAGGAAGGCCUCGAGAACGCUAACUCCAAGCAGGAACCGUGUUCCUGGCAUAACUGAAGCCGCCAUGAUCCUAGCUACCACUGCUGCUGCCACGGCCACCACCAUGGCCAUCGCCUCCCACCACCUUCACAGCCCCCUCCCUCAUGCCGCAGCGCACCAGAUGCAAGCUUUCCACAGUGGCUCUCCGCCGAAUUUGCCCAGUGGGUUCCUAGAUUACUUCUGUGUGCGAGAAUAGCCAACCAUGUAGCCUGACAAGAGGUAUUUACAACUACUUAGCCUGUUCAGCUGGAAAGAAAUCAAAAGAUAACACUGAACCCUGAGAUGAUGUAUUGCGAAUCAAAAGUCCCAAUCCAUAAAUAGCGCACUUGAUGAGCUGCUAAAUGAAAACCUGAUCUGAUUAUUGCCCAACGUUUUCACGUUGUUCAGAAAGAAAUAUUUUUAACACACCUUCUUAGAGAAUUGGGACUGUUUACAAAUGCAGGGAAUAUUAUUUAGUCUUACCUUUCUGCUGGGAGAGGUUUCUUCUCCAGGAGGUUCGGAUAUAGAGUCCAGAGGAGACCACACCCUCGUUACACAGUUCUUAUUUUCUACUGUUUCUGCUUACUUGUAAGUAGGACUGAUUAACAGCUAUAAUUAUACAUUAAUUUAAGGGACCUAAUCAAAAGAAGCCGGCCACUCAUUUGCCUCUCUCUCAAGGAAACUCA